UUUUGUCUACAAAUGUUAAUUGCAGUAACCUUUUAGAAAAAAAAUGAUUAAAUUAGACGUCCCGUUACACGACAAUCCGUUUACACGAUAAUUUGCAAAAAUAGAAGAAACGAUUUGACGGUGCAAAGUAUUUCGCAUAGCAGCGAUAAUCUAAUUUCCAUAUUUAUUUAAGAAAGAUUUAGAAAAAGAUAGCAUCGAAUUAUUAAAUUGCUUUGGCACUUUAAUUAUGAUAUCACGUACCACUCAGUUUGGAACUGCGUUUUAAAGACCGAUGAUUAUGCGGCGAGCAAUUUGCUCGAACUUUUAAAAUUGAAGUCAAGCUCGUAUGGAAUGCUCGUAUACAUGUCUGACCAUUGACCACGCGCGGGCGGCGUUUGAUUUCCAUCGGUGUCGCCAACGCCGAUGCCUUGCAAACUGGAUUUACAUGCCGCGGCUUUUGGACCCCUGCCAAAUUGGUUGCACCUGAUUCCGAUCUCGACGUACCCGGAGCAUUAUGGUAUUUUAUACGAGCGGCGACGCCGAUCUCUCGUGCGGGCUGGUGGCGCGACCAAGUUCGACCGCUCGAUUUUACGACAUAAAGUUUCAACCCCGGGGGCGAGCGCAAAUGACGGGCCUGCGACGAAGAACCGUGCCGGACGACACGAAGACCGACGUCAUAAGCGCAACGGUUUGCAGCAAGAAAACACGUCGAUCGAGCAUUAAAGCCUUUUUCCGCGCGGAGCACUCGGCGACACGCUGCGUAUCAAAGAUAAUACGCGCUCGCGUUGCAGUAAAUGCUAUACAUAGUACACAAUGAUGGUACUCGAUGCACUAAAAGCUUACGAGCGGUCAUCUUUUGCAGCUACCUUCGAAAAACGAUCGGAAGGGAUGUUCAAGCUCUUACAACUGUACGCGGAUCAGGCACAUAAUCUUUAAUUCAUAGAUAUAUUUAGUUCAUAGAUAUGAAAAAUUUAUUAAUUUAUCUUAUAAUUUAAGAGGAUCUUCAAUAUGUUAUAUCUUCAAAAAUAUCUUUAAAAAUUAUAAAAUUCUAUUUCUUUCUGUCUCCCUUUAAUAAUAUAAGAAAUGAUAUAAGAAAAAUAUUAAGUAUUCAAUGUCAACCUCUAUUACUAAAUUUAGAAUGCGAUCAAAUUUAAAUUCUUUUACUUUCAACUGCGAUUUCACAAUAAUUUUAUAACGUUUUUUUUUUC